rnacentral:rRNA from 1 species
AACGAACGCUGGCGGCAGGCCUAACACAUGCAAGUCGAGCGCCCGGAUUUAUCCGGGAGCGGCGCACGGGUGAGUAACACGUGGGAACAUGCCCUGAAGUACGGAACAACCGAGGGAAACUUUGGCUAAUACCGUAUACGCCCUGAGGGGGAAAGAUUUAUCGCUUCAGGAUUGGCCCGCGUUGGAUUAGCUAGUUGGUGCGGUAACGGCGCACCAAGGCGACGAUCCAUAGCUGAUCUGAGAGGAUGAUCAGCCACACUGGGACUGAGACACGGCCCAGAGUCCUACGGGAGGCAGCAGUGGGGAAUAUUGGACAAUGGGCGCAAGCCUGAUCCAGCCAUGCCGCGUGAGCGAUGAAGGCCUUAGGGUUGUAAAGCUCUUUCGUGGGGGAAGAUAAUGACUGUACCCCAAGAAGAAGCCCCGGCUAACUCCGUGCCAGCAGCCGCCGUAAAAC